rnacentral:lncRNA from 1 species
GAGAACAAAUCUUUCUUCUGAUUUUGUUCUCGAGAAAGUAAAAAUAGAUGAUGAUAAUUAAUUUUCAAUCGUCGCAACCACACACUCCUCAUUUACAGCGUAUCUCUUCGUUUUCCAUUAAAAUUCUGGGUGCUCAUCACUAUUCAUCUUCUAUUCUCUGUAUUGUAUCCUCACUCACCGCCGUUUGGGUUUUAUCUCUUUUCCUCUACACUGUUACUGUAGCUCCGAUCUCUUUUCCGGUGGUGUUGGGAGUGGAAAAGUGUUGAUUGAGGGUCGUGGAGGUCGAAAGUCUCAUGGUGUCUUAGUCUUUCUCUGUUGCGGUUCGGUAGCUGUUUGAAGACUGUUGCAAGAUCUGCUAAGAUUAUGGAGCAAGACGAAAGUUCUUCGGAACCGCAAUAUUCGAUAAAUUUCAAUUUAUCGAAUAUUGAAUAAGUUAGCAUAUGAACUUAUCUUGUUAAUAUAAAACUUAUUUGUAUAACAACUAUCUUACCAUGUGCAUACGAUAUUAUGCAUAUUUUUAAUAUGUUAUCUAAGAGGAAGAAUUAUCCGAUGGUCAUAAAUAAAACUUUGGCUACUUCACUCAGAG